rnacentral:rRNA from 1 species
GACGAACGCUGGCGGCGUGCUUAACACAUGCAAGUCGAACGGAAAGGCCCUGCUUUUGUGGGGUGCUCGAGUGGCGAACGGGUGAGUAACACGUGAGUAACCUGCCCUUGACUUUGGGAUAACUUAAGGAAACUUGGGCUAAUACCGGAUAGGAGCUCCAGAUGCAUGGUGGGGGUUGGAAAGUUUCGGCGGUUGGGGUUGGACCCGCGGCUUAUCAGCUUGUGGGUGGGGUAGUGGAUGACCAAGGCUUGGAUGGGUAGCCGGCCUUUGAAGGUGACCAGCGACAUUAGGACUGCGAUACGGCCCAGAGUCGUACGGGGGGCAGCAGGGGAGAACAUGACACAGUGGGGGGAAGCCUGAGGUAGCGACGUCGGGUGCGGGAUGACGGCCUGCGGGGUGUAAACCGCUUUCGCCUGAGACGAAGCGUGAGUGACGGUAACGGGUGAAGAAGCACCGGCUAACUACGUG